rnacentral:rRNA from 1 species
GCUACGGGAGGCAGCAGUAGGGAAUAUUGCUCAAUGGGGGAAACCCUGAAGCAGCAACGCCGCGUGGAGGAUGAAGGUUUUCGGAUUGUAAACUCCUUUUGACAGGGAAGAGCAGAAGACGGUACCUGUCGCAUAAGCCACGGCUAACUAAGUGCCAGCAGCCGCGGUAAUACGUAGGUGGCAAGCGUUGUCCGGAUUUAUUGGGUUUAAAGGGUGCGUAGGCGGAAUGCCAAGUCAGCGGUAAAAUCGCGGGGCUCAACCUCGCUCCGCCGUUGAAACUGGCGUUCUUGAGUGGGCGAGAAGUAUGCGGAAUGCGUGGUGUAGCGGUGAAAUGCAUAGAUAUCACGCAGAACUCCGAUUGCGAAGGCAGCAUACCGGCGCCCAACUGACGCUGAAGCACGAAAGCGUGGGUAUCGAACAGGAUUAGAUACCCCAGUAGUC